rfam:Arabis alpina cultivar Pajares Aa.chr2_contig_777, whole genome shotgun sequence.
UAUGGUGAUGAUGAUAAAACAUAAUCCCAGCUCUAUGAGGCCUUUUGUGGUCUAGGAGUAUAACUAUGUUCGUACAUUUAUCUGAGCCUUUUU